rnacentral:rRNA from 1 species
GACGAAUGCUGGCGGCGUGCCUAAUACAUGCAAGUUGAGCGAUGAAGAUUGGUGCUUGCACCAAUUUGAAGAGCAGCGAACGGGUGAGUAACGCGUGGGGAAUCUGCCUUUGAGCGGGGGACAACAUUUGGAAACGAAUGCUAAUACCGCAUAACAACUUUAAACAUAAGUUUUAAGUUUGAAAGAUGCAAUUGCAUCACUCAAAGAUGAUCCCGCGUUGUAUUAGCUAGUUGGUGAGGUAAAGGCUCACCAAGGCGAUGAUACAUAGCCGACCGGGGAGGGGGAUCGGCCACAUUGGGACUGGGACACGGCCCAAAGUCCUACGGGAGGCAGCAGUAGGGAAUCUUCGGCAAUGGACGAAAGUCUGACCGAGCGACGCCGCGUGAGUGAAGAAGGUUUUCGGAUAGUAAAACUCUGUUGGUAGAGAAGAACGUUGGUGAGAGUGGAAAGCUCAUCAAGUGACGGUAACUACCCAGAAAGGGACGGCUAACUACGUGCCAGCCGCCGCCGUAA